rnacentral:lncRNA from 10 species
AGAUAACUGACCCUCUAUGGCCCCUAAGUGAAGAAUUUUGGCUCUGUGGGUUAGAUGAGUCUGUCCAACAGAAGUAACUUCUUUUCUGAGUGGUAAUCUCAACUCCCUGCCUUGGUGAAAGGACUGGGGACUAGAUGGGGGAGGUGUCUAUGGAGCAGAAACUGUUGACAUGGAGUUUCUUCCCACCUUACUCCACAGCUGAUUCUGGGAUCUGGAAUGAAGGAGGCCCUUUGCAUCGAGCAGUUGAAGAAGGGAGAUGGGAUUGGUAAAUCAGAGGUCACCCAAAUAGGGCAGGAGGCCCAGCACAAAUAUUGAUGGCUAGGAGAUGGAGGUUGCAAACUGGAAAGUUGGAGAAAGGGAAUGUGGAUCAAGAUAAUGACACACCACUUGGAGGUUCAGGGACUGGCAGCACUCAAAAGCUGGAAGAAAGGUGCACUGAGAUGCAGGGACCCAUGGCACCCUGAGCCCACUCUCUAUGCCUGACAGUUGCAGGGGUGAUGACUGGCCCCAUUUACCCAGGGCACAGAGGCAUUUAAGGGAGGACCACGGAAGCUAGGCUGUGAGUGGAUGUGCCCUUUAAAAUUUUGUGCAAAGUCCUGAGCUCAGAGCCCAUGGGACACAGGUACGGUGGGCUCAGGACAGUCAUGUCUGCCAUUGGUAUCAGACUUCACUUGGAGAUUUAGAGCCCUGGUUCCGUAGGGCAGGAGGUGGGUGUGGG